UUUCUUUUUCCUUUAUGAAAAUGGCCUCCUUCAAAGAGAUUAUAUCAACACUCCCAAGAAGAAAAGGCUGGAAUGACUCAGAUAACGACCUUUUUUUGUAUCGAAGCUUCUAUUAUUACUCGUUUUUCAUUGAAGGAGCGAUGUCGGCUCAACAAAAUUUCCAAUCUCAACCUUCCGAUAUCAUCAUAUGCAGUGCAUCGAAAACUAGAACAACAUGGUUAAAGUCCCUCACUUUCGCCAUUGUCACAAGAACCAUCUUCGAUGAUUCCACUAACCCUUUACUUACCAAUCUUGAUCAUUUUAGUCUCUUUUUUUUUUUAUCAUUUUAGUUUUGAAUCAUCAAAUUUCAAUUAAAUUACCUUUUUUUUUGGACGUAAAAGGUUGACCUAACAAGUAAACUUUUAAACGUGAUAGCCUGUAUAGUAGUGCAUGUGUAUUUUAUUGUUCACGUGGAUGAUUAUUUUCAAAAUUUUUAUGAACUUUUUAAAUUUUUAUUUUUAUUUAAUUUAUGAAGUAAGCGCGGACUUUCAUGUGUGUCACCAUGUCACUUCCGUUAAAAUUUUAAUAGUCCAAUUAAUUUUUCCGUUAAAAGAAAAACAAUUUAACAAAAAUUUGAAAAUUUAAAAUAAACCGAUCCAAAAAAGUAUUAAGACAAAUGCAUUUAAGAAAAGGGAAAUUAUUUGGUGCAUUGCCGGUAGAGCUUUUAUACUCCACAAGUAGAAUUAGGGGUUAAUAAGUAUCCUAUAGAGAAAUAGUAAAAUAUUAAUUUUUUAAGAUUACUUAUAAAAUAAAAAAAUACACUUCACCCCAAUUACUGUAAAAAAAAAUACAAAACUUGAUUCCAAAUCUUGCUCUUUAAAAAAAUUUUUGACUUCACCCCGAUGUGCUAAAAGUGUUUUAAUUAGAUCCUAGACUCAAUAGAUUACACUCGUUUAGUGGAGUUUUAUCGUUCAUGUUAUAUAAGUCAUUCUAAAAAAAAAAAAAAAACCCUAUAAAAAGGAUCAUCUUUAAGUCAUUCAAUACAACUUCAAAAGUGCAAAAAAUAUCAAAGUCUGAACAGAAGAUUUUGAUGACUAGAAGUUGUUUCUUAAAAUCCUAAAAAAUUGAAAAACUUAAAUAAAUUCCAAAGAAUGUCACAUCUUUUUGAUACAAUGGCUAAGACUACCCAUAGCCCCCCUCAACACUUAAACAGAGGGAUAAUAAGCUUUAGUACACUUGAAUUCAAGUUCUCCCAACCCAAAUAUAAAAAAUAAAACCCAAACCCAAAUUAAUAUUCUAUAAAUUUAUAGUCACAACUUUAUAUAAUUUAGUUAUAAUUUUAAUGUAUAUUAUAUACAUUAAAAACCUAAAUCCUGCCUCAUUUACCAAUUCCCAAAUCUGAAAUUCCUAUCCCAAAACCUAGCACCAUUUACACCGCCAUCAGCCCCUCCUCGACUGUCACCUACUACUGCAGGCCACACGACCACACCCGUCCAGCGUCCACCACCAGCAAGCAAUUGAAAGCAAAGUAGCAAGGAUAAUGCGGCCAUGGAAGGCAAGAAUUGAAGACAAAGAAGAGAAGGAAAGGAAAGCAAGCUUUAUCACGUAAUAGAAGGUUUGAAUGUUUAAAAGAGAUUUCUCAUGCAAGCUGGUUGGAUGAAUUAGGUUAAUCUCUAAUUUUUGGUUUAUUUGAAUCGAUUUAGUGCACACCUUAUUUUUUUUUUCACCUUAUUUUUUCUUUCAUGAUCUUAUUGAUUCGACCAUAAAUUUUGUUUAUGAUAUGUUUUUAAUGGAAUAAAAUUCUAAUCUAUUAGAUGUGAAUUGCUCUAAUCUAAGCACAAUUAUUGUACAAUUUUGUUAAAAAAAUGAAACUAUAAAUUUUGAAAUAAUUAUGAAUAAAUUAAUAUUAGUCUGUUGAUGUGAACAAUUAUUUUUAAAACUUUUUUAUUUUUUAAUUUUAAAAAGUACACACGUUCUUUUAUUUGAGUUAUCAUGUUACUUUCAUUAAAAUAGUACAAUUAAUUUUUGUGUAAAAUUUAAAAUACACUUCACCUUUAAAAAAUAAAAAAAUGCAUUGGACAGCACUAACUACAUUCAUUUAUUAAUUUAGUUCCUAUAACUCUACUCCAAUUCAAGAAAUCACGUGGUGGACAUAAUAAAAAACUGAUAUUAAAAGCAAAUAAUUCUCCACACUAAGAUCACAUGGUUGAAUUAAAAAAAGUUGAUUGCGUAAUUGUGAAAGAACUUACCUUUUCUCUCAAGCUAUUUAUAGAUCCAAUUUUUGUCAAAAUACUUGCACUCAUUUCUCCUUUCGUUUUUCCUUUAUCAAAAUGGCCUCCUUCAAAGAGAUCAUCUCAACACUCCCAAGAAGAAAAGGCUGGACUGACUCAAAUAACGACCUUUUUUUGUAUCGAGGCUUCUGGUGUUACUCGUUUUUCAUUGAAGGAGUGAUGUCGGCUCAACAAAAUUUUCAAUCUCAACCUUCCGAUAUCGUCAUAUGCAGUGCACCGAAAACUGGAACAACAUGGUUAAAGUCCCUCACUUUCGCCAUUGUCACAAGAACCACCUUCGAUGAUUCCACUAGCCCUUUACUUGCCAAUCUAUCACAUGAUUGUGUACCCUUUUUAGAGGUUGAUUUAGCCCAUUCUUCUACCAAUCGAGACCCUAAAAAUCCUUUGUUAGCCACACAUGUCCCUUACUCUUCUUUACCAA
rnacentral:lncRNA from 1 species